AAUCAAGUGUCUUAAGGGCAUCUAGUGGAUGCCUUGGCGCACACAGGCGAUGAAAGACGUGAUACGCUGCGAUAAGCGUCGGGGAGCUGCGAAUAAGCUUUGAUCCGACGAUUUCUGAAUGGGGCAACCCACUCCGUAAGGAGUAUCCCGCAAGGGAAGCAAACCCGGGGAACUGAAACAUCUAAGUACCCGGAGGAAAGGACAUCAACCGAGACUCCGUUAGUAGUGGCGAGCGAACGCGGACCAGGCCAGUGGCCUAUAUGUAAAAACAGGAAAGAGCUGGAAAGCUCUGCCAUAGUGGGUGAUAGCCCCGUACUGGUAAAAAGCAUAUAGGUCCUCGAGUAAGGCGGAACACGUGAAAUUCUGUCUGAACAUGGGGGGACCACCCUCCAAGCCUAAGUACUCGUGUGCGACCGAUAGUGAACAAGUACCGUGAGGGAAAGGUGAAAAGCACCCCGACGAGGGGAGUGAAAUAGUUCCUGAAACUGGAUGCCUACAAACAGUCGGAGCCCGCAAGGGUGACGGCGUACCUUUUGUAUAAUGGGUCAGCGACUUAAUUUAACAUGCAAGCUUAAACCGUUAGGUGUAUGCGCAGCGAAAGCGAGUCUGAAUAGGGCGUUGAGUAUGUUGGAUUAGACCCGAAACCAAGUGAUCUAGCCAUGGGCAGGCUGAAGGUGCAGUAACAUGCACUGAAGGGCCGAACCCACUUCUGUUGAAAAAGAACGGGAUGACCUGUGGCUAGGGGUGAAAGGCCAAUCAAACUUGGAAAUAGCUGGUUCUCCGCGAAAUCUAUUUAGGUAGAGCGUCAGACGAAUACUCCAGGGGGUAGAGCACUGGAUGGGCUAGGGGUCCCCAACGGAUUACCAAACCUAACCAAACUCCGAAUACCUGGAAGUAAUAUCUGGCAGACACACCACGGGUGCUAAGGUCCGUGGUGGAAAGGGAAACAGCCCUGACCGACAGCUAAGGUCCCAAAGUCAUGGUUAAGUGGGAAAGCUUGUGAGAUUGCACAGACAACCAGGAGGUUGGCUUAGAAGCAGCCAUCCUUUAAAGAUAGCGUAACAGCUCACUGGUCAAGCGAUCUUGCGGCGAAAAUGUAACGGGGCUCAAACCAUGCACCGAAGCUUCGGGUUUACAAUUUAUUGUAAGCGGUAGCGGAGCGUUCUGUAAGUCUGCGAAGGGAUACCCGCGAGGGGUCCUGGAGGUAUCAGAAGUGCGAAUGCUGACAUGAGUAGCGAUAAAGAGUGUGAGAGACACUCUCGCCGAAAGUCCAAGGGUUCCUGCGCAAUGCUAAUCAGCGCAGGGUUAGUCGGCCCCUAAGUCGAGGACGAAAGUCGUAGACGAUGGGAAACAGGUUAAUAUUCCUGUACCUGGUGGUAGUGACGAAUCUAUAGAUCUGUCAGUCCUUAUCGGAUUGGUUCUGGCAGUGAGUAGGUUCCAGGAAAUAGCUCCACCAACAAGACCGUACUCUAAACCAACACAGGUGGACAGGUAGAGAAUACUAAGGCGCUUGAGAGAACUAUGCUGAAGGAACUCGGCAAAUUACAUGCGUAACUUCGGGAUAAGCAUGACCAUAUGGGAGGCAACUCUCAUGUGGUGGCACAGACCAGGGGGUGGCGACUGUUUACUAAAAACAUAGGGCUCUGCGAAGUCGUAAGACGACGUAUAGGGUCUGACGCCUGCCCGGUGCCUGAAGGUUAAAAGGAGAGGUGAGAGCCUUGAAUUGAAGCCCAGGUAAACGGCGGCCGUAACUAUAACGGUCCUAAGGUAGCGAAAUUCCUUGUCGGGUAAGUUCCGACCUGCACGAAUGGCGUAACGACUUCCCCACUGUCUCCAGCAUAGACUCAGCGAAAUUGAAUUCCCCGUGAAGAUGCGGGGUUCCUGCGGUUAGACGGAAAGACCCCGUGCACCUUUACUAUAGCUUCACACUGGCAUUCGUGUCGGCAUGUGCAGAAUAGGUGGUAGGCUUUGAACUAUAGACGCCAGUUUAUAGGGAGCCAAAAUGUGAGAUACCACCCUUAUCGUCAUGUAUGUCUAACCGCGGCGUAACAGCGUCCGGGACAGUGUGUGGUGGGUAGUUUGACUGGGGCGGUCGCCUCCCAAAGAGUAACGGAGGCGCGCGAUGGUGGGCUCAGACCGGUCGGAAAUCGGUCGUCGAGUGCAAUGGCAUAAGCCCGCCUGACUGCGAGACUGACAAGUCGAGCAGAGACGAAAGUCGGUCAUAGUGAUCCGGUGGUCCCGCGUGGAAGGGCCAUCGCUCAACGGAUAAAAGGUACGCCGGGGAUAACAGGCUGAUGAUGCCCAAGAGUCCAUAUCGACGGCAUUGUUUGGCACCUCGAUGUCGGCUCAUCGCAUCCUGGGGCUGGAGCAGGUCCCAAGGGUUUGGCUGUUCGCCAAUUAAAGCGGUACGCGAGCUGGGUUUAGAACGUCGUGAGACAGUUCGGUCCCUAUCUGCCGUGGGUGUAGGAAUGUUGAGAAGAGUUGCCCCUAGUACGAGAGGACCGGGGUGAACAGAUCUCUGGUGGACCUGUUGUGGCGCCAGCCGCAUAGCAGGGUAGCUAUAUCUGGACGGGAUAACCGCUGAAAGCAUCUAAGCGGGAAGCCUCCUUCAAAACUAGCAUUCCCUUGAGAGCCGUGGGAGACCACCACGUUGAUAGGUCAGGUGUGGAAGCGCAGCAAUGUGUGAAGCUUACUGAUACUAAUAGCUCGAUUGGCUUGAUUGU
rnacentral:rRNA from 1 species